UUGGACUCACCAUGAGCGCGCGCAUGUGGAGCAUCUGAUCAACCACGUCAAUUAAUGAGGCUUGAUCAGACGCUCCUGGUUUUUUCUCUUUUUUCUAAUUUCUGUUUUAUUUUCUUUUAUUCCAUUUAUCUUCAAAAAAUCAUAACUCUUUCAUUUUAAUUCCAAAAAAUAUGGGACCAAUUACAUUCUUCUCCAUUUAAAUUCUAGUUUCUAAAACUGAUUUUUAAUAUUUUUUAUUUCAUCAUUUG
rnacentral:lncRNA from 1 species